AGAGUUUGAUCCUGGCUCAGGAUGAACGCUGGCGGCGUGCCUAAUACAUGCAAGUCGAGCGAACUGAUUAGAAGCUUGCUUCUAUGACGUUAGCGGCGGACGGGUGAGUAACACGUGGGCAACCUGCCUGUAAGACUGGGAUAACUUCGGGAAACCGAAGCUAAUACCGGAUAGGAUCUUCUCCUUCAUGGGAGAUGAUUGAAAGAUGGUUUCGGCUAUUACUUACAGAUGGGCCCGCGGUGCAUUAGCUAGUUGGUGAGGUAACGGCUCACCAAGGCAACGAUGCAUAGCCGACCUGAGAGGGUGAUCGGCCACACUGGGACUGAGACACGGCCCAGACUCCUACGGGAGGCAGCAGUAGGGAAUCUUCCGCAAUGGACGAAAGUCUGACGGAGCAACGCCGCGUGAGUGAUGAAGGCUUUCGGGUCGUAAAACUCUGUUGUUAGGGAAGAACAAGUACAAGAGUAACUGCUUGUACCUUGACGGUACCUAACCAGAAAGCCACGGCUAACUACGUGCCAGCAGCCGCGGUAAUACGUAGGUGGCAAGCGUUAUCCGGAAUUAUUGGGCGUAAAGCGCGCGCAGGCGGUUUCUUAGGUCUGAUGUGAAAGCCCCACGGCUCAACCGUGGAGGGGCCAUUGGAAACUGGGGGAACUUGAGUGCAGAAGAGGAAAAGCAGAAUCCCACGUGUUACCGGCAGAAAUC
rnacentral:rRNA from 1 species